AUCAUAAUGAACUUAAAUUUAGUUUUAACCGAGGUUUUAACUCGCUGACUCUUUCGUAAUGAGUUUGUACUUUUAAUUUUAAUUUUCAAUUUUAUUUCUAGAUUAUUGUAUAAGUGAUCCAGUCUAUUACUGUACAGUUUGUACUUGAAUUGAUGAAAUGUCACAUCUACAAUGAGAGUUGCUGAUGAACCAUCAAAAAUAAAGAAAGUAGCGGACACUAACAAUCUAAUCCUUGCACGAAGAGCAAA